AUAUGGCUCAGGAUUAACGCUGGCGGCGUGCCUAAUACAUGCAAGUCGGAUGGUAGCAAUACCAUGGCGAACGGGUGAGUAACACGUAGGUAACCUGUCAUUAAGACGAGAAUAACCAUUGGAAACGAUGGAUAAUGCUGGAUAGGAUAUUUAAGGGCAUCCUUAGAUAUUUAAAGAUUUAUCACUUAAUGAGGGGCCUGCGGCGCAUUAAGCUAGUUGGAAGGUAAAAGCUUACCAAGGCGAUGAUGCGUAGCCGGACUGAGAGGUUGAACGGCCACAAUGGAACUGAGAACGGUCCAUACUCCUACGGGAGGCAGCAGUAGGGAAUUUUCGGCAAUGGGCGGAAGCCUGACCGAGCCAACGCCGCGUGAUCGAAUGAAGUAUUUCGGUAUGUAAAGAUCUUUUAUUAGGGAAGAAAAGACAGAUUGACGGUACCUAAUGAAUAAGCUCCGGCUAACUACGUGCCAGCCGCGGC
rnacentral:rRNA from 1 species